GCGGGUGUCGUAUAAUGGUAAUACCUCAGCCUUCCAAGCUGAUGCUGUCGGUUCGAUUCCGUCUACCCGCU
rnacentral:tRNA from 1 species